UACGUAGGGGGCAAGCGUUGUCCGGAAUCAUUGGGCGUAAAGAGCGCGUAGGCGGCCCUGUAAGUCCGCUGUGAAAGUCAAGGGCUCAACCCUUGAAUGCCGGUGGAUACUGCAGGGCUAGAGUCCGGAAGAGGCGAGUGGAAUUCCUGGUGUAGCGGUGGAAUGCGUAGAGAUCCGGAAGAACACCGGUGGCGAAGGCGGCCUGCUGGGCAGUGGCUGACACUGAGGCGCGACAGCGUGGGGAGCAAACAGG
rnacentral:rRNA from 1 species